UUCAGCCCCCGCCCUUUGUCCCUCCACCACUGACUCUUAUGUUUCAUUCUAACUUAAAACAAGAACCAAAUCAUUAUUUCACAAAUUAUGAUCCUUUAACCAAACUUAAAACCAAGUAAGUCUGAUUAUUGAAGUGAUGCAAUGAAAGUCAAAGCGCCAUCGUCCUUGGUUAGAGGUAUAUUGAUUGCAACAUGCUUGGUGUACAUUAUGGUCUAUACCUAUGUUUAUACAUUGUGCCUCGUCUAAUUAUCUCAUUUGACUAUUUAAAAAAAUAAGAAUAAUAAUUUUUCAUCCACUUAUUUCUUGACAACACAUUAAGUGUCAACAUGAGUGUACAUAAUUGAUGUACAAGUGGUAUAAUCCUAUUGAUUGGGCUUUGCUAUGUGUACAUGGUGGGUUAGAAGGAUUUUAUAGGGCAACAGUUGACGCUUUUUUCUUUGCCGAUGACCAAAAAUGACACAUACGGGUGCUAUUAGCACAGCUCUGUGGUGCCUGCAAGUAAUUCUCAUAUAAAAGGAGAAUUACUCAUAUUGAUUCUCUUAAAUGUCGUGUCAUGUUGGAAACAUGUAGACUAUAUUUGUAGGGUACUUCCUCUUAAUGUUAGUCUUUAUUGACUUAGCAACUACUUAACUAUUUGUUUUUCAUGUCGGAAAGGUUUGUGAGCGACUUCAAGUUAGCAGGCUUGCGCACGUAUAAAUCAUAGAAGAUUCAAUCCAUAUUUUCUAUGCAGAUAUGUGACAUUAAAUAAGACUUUGAUGUUUUUCUUAAUAUUGUAUGAUACUACGAAGUUUAUUGUACGAAAAGAUGAAAACCUGUACGUGUUCCAUCCCUAUCAUUGUGACGUGGACAGUGACCUCAAAUAAUCAAACAAACAAGACUUGGACGUGACUAUUCAUCUAUUUUAUAACUUUUUAGUGGUAAAUGACAAGGAAUUCCAAGAUUAUAAAGUGCUAAGCUUAGUACAUCGGUCCAAACACUACCCAGAUAUAUUAUGGUCCAACAUUACAUCCCAAUAGCCUCUCCACUUACUGUUAAAUUAAUUGGCCUCGGGCCCCUAACAGCCUGCUUUUACAUCUAUUUAUACAUGAAAUAAAUCCCACAUAGUUAUUCAUCUAAAUCUCGUCAUUUUAUACUUCUUAGUUCCAUUUUGCAACCAUGUCAACUCCCAAUAUUGGCAUUGCUGAAUUGUACGUAAUGAAAAAGAUGAUCAAGGAGAAGAAAAUGCCGAAAAGCUUGGGGAAGAAAGAGAGUUCUGACUCGGGCUCGGGUUCCCGUGGCCACAGCUUCUGCCGGGGGUUUCGCAGAAUUCACCCUGCAGCUGGUGUUCUCCCAUUGCACCGUCCCUGAAAAUUAAGAUAGCCCAGAAUAUAUAUAUAUAUAUAUAUGCAUGGUUUAUACUGUGACUUCGUGACUCCUAUUACACCAGUUUCUUUUGAUUUUUAUAUUUUGCGAAAUUUUCUAUAUAAUUUAUUUUCCUCGUGUGAAAAUGUUUGAACUUCGUCCAGUUUCGUCUAGUACUACUUUUAUCGACUUCAAAAAACGAGUUUCACUGUAUAUGAGCCAAUGGAACUUCACAUAAGGCGACUUCUAAACUUUCAAGAUGUAAUAGUCACAGAAUAAUUUGUCGGCAAAGUUGCUUGAACCUUGACAUCAGGCCGCACUACAAUACCAUUUAUUUUUGCCUAAUUAUGGGUACAAUGAAUCGUACGUUAAAUUAAAUCUUAAAUAGCAAAAAUAUGAAAAUAGAAACCUUAUUUGAUCCAGUCGAAUUGGAUCCAACCAAGUCCUAGUCAUUGCGUUGCAGUCUCGUUUCUCGACUUCGCUUGUGUGAUUUGGACUUAUGAUUGGUUUCAUUCAUCCCCCAACACUAAUGAGUGCACUACGAAG
rnacentral:lncRNA from 1 species